rnacentral:rRNA from 1 species
GACGAACGCUGGCGGCGUGCCUAACACAUGCAAGUCGAACGGAAAGGCCCUGCUUUUGUGCGGUGCUCGAUUGCCGAACGGGUGAGUAACACGUGAGUAACCUGCCCUUGACUUUGGGGUAACUUCACGAAACUGGGGCUAAUACCGGAUAGGAUCUCCUGCUGCAUGGUGGGGGUUGGAAAGUUUCGGCGGUUGGGGAUGGACUCGCGGCUUAUGAGCUUGUUGGUGGGGUAGUGGCUUACCAAGGCUUUGACGGGUAGGCGGCCUGAGAGGGUGACCGGGCACAAUGGUACUGAGAGACGGCCCAGACGCGUACGGGAGGCAGCGGUGGGAAAUAUUACACAGUGGGCGGACGCCUGAGACAGCAGCGCCGCGUGCGGGAUGACGGCCUUCGGGUUAUAAACCGCUUUCGCCUGUGACGAAGCGUGAGUGACGGUAAUGGGUAAAGAAGCACCGGCUAACUACGUG